rnacentral:ncRNA from 1 species
GGCACACAGAAUGUGCUGGCAUGUGUAAGUCCGACGUGCUCUUGCAGCACGGCCUUGCUAGGGCUCGGGAUUAC